CCCUCUGGUAAGCGUUUAUCAUAAAUUUUCAUUGUAAUAUGAAACUUUGAAUAGUUACGGGUUUCUGUAAAGAGCUCACUAUAGACGGCGCCACGGUUCGCUUAAACCGAAAAUUAAAAAUUAUCAUAUCGAAAAUUUCGUUCGAGCGGGUGCAUCGUUCCAUAGCUUAAUUGGCUAGAGCGCCGACACGGCAAGUUGGAGACGCGGGUUCGAACCCCGCUGGAGCGGUCAAUUUUUGAUAUGAUAUUCAAAAAUGUUUAGAAUUCCUA
rnacentral:tRNA from 1 species